rnacentral:misc_RNA from 1 species
GUAAAAGUGAUGGCUAAGGUUUAUUGGGGUGAUCCAAGGGAGAAGUUGUGUGAGGCUGUUGAGGAUCUUAAUCUUCAUUCACUUGUUCUUGGGAGCAGAGGUUUAGGCUCUAUCAAAAGUAGUUCCGAGGACUGGAAUGGUGAACUCCACUCCUUGCUCGUUGGCUAUUAAGAAAGUAGAGAAGAACAAGCUUACCCCAAAUGCUUUCUAAGACUUCCAGACAUACUAAGGGUAUUGC